GUCCUUGUGGCUCAGUUGGUAGAGCAUGGUGUUUGCAAUGCCAGGGUUGUGGGUUCGAUUCCCACGGGGGACC
rnacentral:tRNA from 1 species